UGCAAGUCGAGGGGUAGAGUUCUUCGGAGCUUGAGACCGGCGCACGGGUGCGUAACGCGUAUGCAAUCUACCUUUUACAGAGGGAUAGCCCAGAGAAAUUUGGAUUAAUACCUCAUAGUAUAUCACAAUCGCAUGAUUGAGUUAUUAAAGUCACAACGGUAAAAGAUGAGCAUGCGUCCCAUUAGCUAGUUGGUAAGGUAACGGCUUACCAAGGCUACGAUGGGUAGGGGUCCUGAGAGGGAGAUCCCCCACACUGGUACUGAGACACGGACCAGACUCCUACGGGAGGCAGCAGUGAGGAAUAUUGGACAAUGGGCGCAAGCCUGAUCCAGCCAUGCCGCGUGCAGGAUGACGGUCCUAUGGAUUGUAAACUGCUUUUAUACGAGAAGAAACACUCCGACGUGUCGGAGCUUGACGGUAUCGUAAGAAUAAGGAUCGGCUAACUCCGUGCCAGCAGCCGCGGUAAUACGGAGGAUCCAAGCGUUAUCCGGAAUCAUUGGGUUUAAAGGGUCCGUAGGCGGUUUGGUAAGUCAGUGGUGAAAGCCCAUCGCUCAACGGUGGAACGGCCAUUGAUACUGCCAGACUUGAAUUAUUAGGAAGUAACUAGAAUAUGUAGUGUAGCGGUGAAAUGCUUAGAGAUUACAUGGAAUACCAAUUGCGAAGGCAGGUUACUACUAAUUGAUUGACGCUGAUGGACGAAAGCGUGGGUAGCGAACAGGAUUAGAUACCCUGGUAGUCCACGCCGUAAACGAUGGAUACUAGCUGUUGGGAGCAAUCUCAGUGGCUAAGCGAAAGUGAUAAGUAUCCCACCUGGGGAGUACGUUCGCAAGAAUGAAACUCAAAGGAAUUGACGGGGGCCCGCACAAGCGGUGGAGCAUGUGGUUUAAUUCGAUGAUACGCGAGGAACCUUACCAAGGCUUAAAUGUAGAUUGACCGGUUUGGAAACAGAUCUUUCGCAAGACAAUUUACAAGGUGCUGCAUGGUUGUCGUCAGCUCGUGCCG
rnacentral:rRNA from 1 species